ACGCUCGACACCUACGGGAGACAGCAGUGGGGAAUAUUGCACAAUGGGGGAAACCCUGAUGCAGCGACGCCGCGUGAGCGAAGAAGUAUUUCGGUAUGUAAAGCUCUAUCAGCAGGGAAGAAAACUGACGGUACCUGACUAAGAAGCCACCGGACUAAAUACGUGCCAGUAGCCGCGGUAAUCUGAGGCGGGCGUGGCGAAGGC
rnacentral:rRNA from 1 species